AAUAUUGCACAAUGGGCGCAAGCCUGAUGCAGCCAUGCCGCGUGUAUGAAGAAGGCCUCGGGUUGUAAAGUACUUUCAGCAGUGAGGAAGGUGGGUAUGUUAAUAGCAUACUCAUUUGACGUUAGCUGCAGAAGAAGCACCGGCUAACUCCGUGCCAGCAGCCGCGGUAAUACGGAGGGUGCGAGCGUUAAUCGGAAUUACUGGGCGUAAAGCGCAUGCAGGUGGUUUGUUAAGUCAGAUGUGAAAGCCCGGGGCUCAACCUCGGAAUUGCAUUUGAAACUGGCAAACUAGAGUACUGUAGAGGGGGUAGAAUUUCAGGUGUAGCGGUGAAAUGCGUAGAGAUCUGAAGGAAUACCGGUGGCGAAGGCGGCCCCCUGGACAGAUACUGACACUCAGAUGCGAAAGCGUGGGGAGCAAACAGGAUUAGAUACCCUGGUAG
rnacentral:rRNA from 1 species